AACUCAAAAUGGCUAAAGGACUUUAAAUGUAAGAUGGGAAACCAUAAAAAUCCUACAAGACUCCAUAGUCAGCAAAAUAGCAAACAUAUGUGAUAGCAAU